rnacentral:rRNA from 1 species
AUGAUUUUAGGUGCUUGCACUUGAAAGAUUUAACAUUGAGACGAGUGGCGAACUGGUGAGUAACACGUGGGUAACCUGCCCUUGAAGUAGGGGAUAACACUUGGAAACAGGUGCUAAUACCGUAUAACAACCAAAACCACCUGGUUUUGGUUUAAAAGACGGCUUCGGCUGUCACUUUAGGAUGGACCCGCGGCGUAUUAGCUUGUUGGUAAGGUAACGGCCUACCAAGGCGAUGAUACGUAGCCGACCUGAGAGGGUAAUCGGCCACAUUGGGACUGAGACACGGCCCAAACUCCUACGGGAGGCAGCAGUAGGGAAUCUUCCACAAUGGACGAAAGUCUGAUGGAGCAACGCCGCGUGAGUGAUGAAGGGUUUCGGCUCGUAAAACUCUGUUGUUGGAGAAGAACAGGUGUCAGAGUAACUGUUGACAUCUUGACGGUAUCCAACCAGAAAGCCACGGCUAACUACGUGCCAGCAGCCGCGGUAAUACGUAGGUGGCAAGCGUUGUCCGGAUUUAUUGGGCGUAAAGCGAGCGCAGGCGGUUUUUUAGGUCUGAUGUGAAAGCCUUCGGCUUAACCGGAGAAGUGCAUCGGAAACCGGGAGACUUGAGUGCAGAAGAGGACAGUGGAACUCCAUGUGUAGCGGUGAAAUGCGUAGAUAUAUGGAAGAACACCAGUGGCGAAGGCGGCUGUCUGGUCUGUAACUGACGCUGAGGCU